rnacentral:lncRNA from 1 species
GCGGUAUUUGUUGAGGAGACGAAAUGCGUUAGCAUUGGCAAAGUCUUCAAACUGGAUCAGGCAAUUCAUACCGUACUUGUUGGUAACCGCCUGCAUAAACUCAUCAAUCAGUUCGUCGUAUUGUUUCCCACGGACCCUCUUGUGUUUCAGUCCAAUAUAGAGUGGAUCACUCAGGAGAGCCUCGUUGUCUGUGCCAACAUCCAGCAGGACAGGGAGACACUGCUGUGGGUGAACUCCA